GGAGAUGUUUCCUAUGAAGACUGAAAUGUAUCUUCAGCACCAUUUACAUUCCUGCACGGAUCAUAGCUUCUUUAAUAAAAGAAGGUGCCCUCUCACUGGAGCACAGGAGCCACUGGGCCACAGCCCCUCCCUUGGCAGCACAGAGAGCACCCGGAUCCUGCCUGAAAGUUUGGGAGGACUUUCCUCCCAGGAAAGGUCCCUUCAUCUCCUCUGCUACAGAAACAAGCAACAAAUGGCAGAAAAGACCUCAGGCAGAUGCUGGUGACCUGGAUCUCAGAGAAAGCCUACGUGCUGGUACACAAACACACUGAAAAUGUCCUCUCACCCGGAGUGAAUUUAAGCACAGAAGAAAACAGGAUGUAAACAGGCCUAACUCUCAGCUGAUUUACAGAGGAGCAAUUUCACUGCAGACCAAAAAGCCAAAAUGAAGUCAACACCAGUCCUUAACAAUUCACAUCACUGAGCUGUCAAGCAGGAUCAGUGUCUGCUUCUUCACCUUUGAAUGUCCAGAAAAUGCAGCAAACUCUCUAGACCCGAUUUUCCCCACAAAUUUGAAUGAAAUAAACCAGGAAUAUCGCCAUCACAAUUGCCAUCAUUGUGUGUAAGGCGGUGAACUGCAAUGAAUCUGGGACAGAGACCCUCUGCUGAAUCAGGACUCCUCAUUUUGCAGGAACAAACACUUUUGGAGCUGCCAUUAAGCAAGGUACCAUAACUUCAUUUAAAGGUACACAAUUUCUUUUGUUCCAGAUAACAUAGAAAGCCAUGAAACAUUAACAUGCCCAACCAUUUCCAGCAUCAAAUCCAGGAUUUGAGAGUGAAACAUUAAAACAUGCCUGACAGUUAAAAGAUUGCAAAUGAGCACAGUGGAAGCUGGCAAUCCUGUUUUCAUUUUCUCAUUGCACUGUCCAGACUUUGUGACAGCAGCCCAAGCAAAUACCUGCCACAGUGAGACCUGCUGUGACCCUGAGACAAUGGGAGUGAGCUCCAUUAUUAAAAACCACUGUGAGCAAUG